rnacentral:rRNA from 1 species
GUCGAGGGAGAUUGUUGGAUUCGUCUGACAUGAAACCGGCGCACGGGUGCGUAACACGUAUGCAACCUACCUUUAACUGGGGUAUAGCUCAGAGAAAUCUGAAUUAAUCCCCCAUAAGACUACGACAUGGCAUCAUGAUGUAGUUAAAGCUCCGGCGGUUAAGGAUGGGCAUGCGGUACAUUAGCUAGUUGGUGAGGUAACGGCUCACCAAGGCUACGAUGUAUAGGGGGUCUGAGAGGAUGAUCCCCCACACUGGUACUGAGACACGGACCAGACUCCUACGGGAGGCAGCAGUAGGGAAUAUUGGUCAAUGGACGCAAGUCUGAACCAGCCAUGCCGCGUGAAGGAUGAAGGCCCUAUGGGUCGUAAACUUCUUUUAUUAGGGAAGAAAAAAUGGGAUGCGUCCUAUACUGACGGUACUUAAUGAAUAAGGAUCGGCUAACUUCGUGCCAGCAGCCGCGGUAAGACGAAGGAUCCAAGCGUUGUCCGGAUUUACUGGGUUUAAAGGGUGCGUAGGCGGAAAAUUAAGUCAGUGGUGAAAGCCCGCAGCUCAACUGUGGAACUGCCAUUGAAACUGGUUUUCUUGAAUAUAGCUGAGGCAGAUGGAAUAUAACAUGUAGCGGUGAAAUGCUUAGAUAUGUUAUAGAACACCGAUUGCGAAGGCAGUCUGCUAAACUAUUAUUGACGCUGAGGCACGAAAGCGUGGGGAGCGAACAGGAUUAGAUACCCUGGUAGUCCACGCCCUAAACG